UACGUAGGAUCCGAGCGUUGUCCGGAGUUACUGGGCGUAAAGGGCGUGCAGGCGGUGAAGUAAGCGAGGCGUGAAAGGCCUCGGCUAAACCGGGGUAAGUCGUCUGAGACUGCUUCACUAGAGGAUGGUAGAGGCGUGUAGAAUUCCGGGUGUAGUGGUGAAAUGCGUAGAGAUCCGGAGGAAUACAAGUGGCGAAGGCGGCACGCUGGGCCAUUACUGACGCUAAGACGCGAAAGCAUGGGUAGCGAACGGG
rnacentral:rRNA from 1 species